rnacentral:rRNA from 1 species
UACGAAGGGUGCAAGCGUUACUCGGAAUUACUGGGCGUAAAGCGUGCGUAGGUGGUUCGUUAAGUCUGUCGUGAAAGCCCCGGGCUCAACCUGGGAAUGGCGAUGGAUACUGGCGGGCUAGAGUGCGGUAGAGAAGAGUGGAAUUCCCGGUGUAGCAGUGAAAUGCGUAGAGAUCGGGAGGAACAUCAGUUGCGAAGGCGGCUCUCUGGACCAGCACUGACACUGAGGCACGAAAGCGUGGGGAGCAAACAGG